GACGGAGGGUGCUAGCGUUGUUCGGAAUGACUGGGCGUAAAGGGCGCGUAGGCGGCCGGUUGCGUCGGAUGUGAAAGCCCGGGGCUCAACCCCGGAACGGCAUCCGAUACGGGCUGGCUUGAGACCGAGAGAGGUGAGUGGAAUACCCAGUGUAGAGGUGAAAUUCGUAGAUAUUGGGUGGAACACCGGUGGCGAAAGCGGCUCACUGGCUCGGUUCUGACGCUGAGGAGCGAAAGCGUGGGGAGCAAACAGG
rnacentral:rRNA from 1 species